AAUCGCGAAAACGAUCGGCUGGUUACUGACAACCAAAAGGUUGUUUUUGGUAGAUAUUAAAGAUCAUGGGUGGGCGGGGCAAAUGGAGCAGUUUUCUACAGUCGAGUAAAAUUCCAGGAAAGAGCUGGGUGUGGCUUUCCUUUAAAUCACAUGAUCAACAGCUUUAAGAUGGAGGCAACUCGCUCAGUGUUUCCUGUUUCAUUCUUAGACUGUGGCGAUGGCCGACCAAGAGCAAAAUAGAAGACAACAAUUUCUCAAAGGAGGUUCAAAACUAAUGCCUACAAGAUUACCAAGAGGAGGGUUCGGGGCUCUUACAUGACUCCGGGAAGUCAACACUUGGUGGAUGAGAUCCUUCACAGCAUGUUGUUUCUGGGCAAAAUCAACAACAUCCCCUUUUCUCCAGAAGAAAUCUUCCCUAAUCCUUUUGUUUUGGGUUCUUUAAUGAGAAGAUA